GGCAUGUGGAGGAGGAUUUGCGUGCAAUGGGACAGCCGAAUCUCGAUACCAUCGACUUUGCAUAGCUCGACAACAUGGAAGGAGGCAGAUUAACAGCCGAGUCACUGGCUUCAGUAGUUCCCAAGUUUAAUUGGUAAUAUUUCCGAUCCUUCAGCUUUUGAUGUGGGGCUGAUUAUUGGCAGGGUGUUUUUAGUUGAACUCAUUGUCUGUGGCAUUCUUACUCUUUUCUUCCUAUUUUACUUCAAUAGGCUCUUUGCUACCAUUGUUUCGUAUCCCAUCCGAGCCUAUACCUGGCAUUACUACGGGGUUUAUAUCGAUAUCCAUGCGCUUCAAAUUUCCCUACUCGGCGGAAGGAUAUUUUUCAAAGGAUUUCGCUAUCACGGAGAGAAUGAGACGAUAUUGGUACAAUCAGGUUACCUGACAUGGAAGUAUUGGCUUCGGUCCGUACGUAAGGUUGGUUUGGCUCGAAAUCACGAAGAUGGUCCGGAAUUCUCGAGAGAGCAGGUGGGAGAGUCUGAUUCGGAUGAAAGCACGCAAAGCCCAAACCCCAGCACCAGCCAGCAGGGCGGUGCCACUAAGAGAAAUAGCCUGCCUUGUCGGUUGGAAUUGACAAUCCAGGGUCUUGAGUGGUUUGUUUAUAACAGGAGUGCUGCCUACGAUACUAUUCUCUCUGGCUUUGGAUAUACUCCGAGAAAGGAACCUGAUGGUAGCGACAAUGGCCGAAGUGAUCAUGCUACUGGAAAGAAUAAUGAGAGAUCGGAAUCACGUAACUCAGCGCAAACAGGUAGUGGAUCAACUGAUAACAAGGAUUGUUCACAUCCCACCUCUCGCAUUGAAUCGGCUACUUCACGUCCGAGCCAGUCUGAACCGUCAACGUUAGCCAAUCGCACUCGCAUCCGUUUAUUUCGUAAAGAAUCGAAUUCGGAAGAAGCUUUAGAUUCCUCUUCGGCCAGCUCAGCAAAAGACGCGUCACGUUCCAAACCGCUGGCUCUGCUUCCCCUGGAGUUAGUUUGCACUAAAGGAGCUAUGGUUAUUGGUAACGAAAACACAAAAACGUUUUUGACCGCAAAGUUUGAAAGUGCUUGUGGGCACAUUGAUGCUAGCAGCUCUGGCCCGCUAGACAUGUUCAGACAUGUAUUUGAAUUUCGCCUAUGCCACCCUGUAGUUCAGAUGAAACCCAAUCCAGACUUUAAACAAUCCCAGCAAGCUACUGCCAGCGGGCUGCGAGCAGCGAAAGGAGACCAAGAAAGAGGGAGAAACCCAAGGGACCUUCAUUCGAGAUAUCAACACCACAGACGCAGGAUAUGGCACAAUGUUCGUGACCUGAUCCCAUAUUUCCAGACUUCAGUCGAGUCAUUCCACGUAGGUGCGGGAAGAGAAACACGUGGAGCAUGUUCUAGUCCUCCAGCAAAAACGGGGUUGCCAGGUGAAUCUCGUUGGCUCGGGUUGACUCGAUACCUUGACGAAGAUGAUCGAGAUGCACAUGAGGGUUGGAGCGCUAUCGAAUAUGGCCGAUUCUCUACCAUAAUCGAUUGCCCCAACCUGCUCCUCAAUUAUUAUUGGGAUGUGCCGGGGAAAGUGCCAAG
rnacentral:sRNA from 2 species